rnacentral:rRNA from 1 species
GGCCGCGGGAAUUCGAUUUCUGGUUGAUCCUGCCAGACCCGACUGCUAUCAGAGUGGGACUAAGCCAUGCGAGUCAACGUAGCAAUGCGUGGCGAACGGCUCAGUAACACGUAGUCAACAUGCCCAGGGGACGUGGAUAACCUCGGGAAACUGAGAUUAAACCGCGAUAGGUCAAGAUUUCUGGAAUGGAUCGUGUCUUAAAUCUACAUGGCCCCUGGAUUGGACUGCGGCCGAUCAGGCUGUUGGUGAGGUAAUGGCCCACCAAACCUAUAACCGGUACGGGCUCUGAGAGGAGAAGCCCGGAGAUGGGCACUGAGACAAGGGCCCAGGCCCUAUGGGGCGCAGCAGGCGCGAAACCUCUGCAAUGGGCGAAAGCCUGACAGGGUUACUCUGAGUGAUUUCCGCUAAGGAGAUCUUUUGGCAGCUCUAAAAAUGGUGCAGAAUAAGGGGUGGGCAAGUCUGGUGUCAGCCGCCGCGGUAAUACCAGCACCCCGAGUGGUCGGGACGAUUAUUGGGCCUAAAGCAUCCGUAGCCGGUUGUGCAAGUCCUCCGUUAAAUCCAGCCGCUCAACGGAUGGGCUGCGGAGGAUACUACAGAACUAGGAGGCGGGAGAGGCAAGCGGUACUUAGUGGGUAGGGGUAAAAUCCUUUGAUCCAUUGAAGACCACCAGUGGCGAAGGCGGCUUGCCAGAACGCGCUCGACGGUGAGGGAUGAAAGCUGGGGGAGCAAACCGGAUUAGAUACCCGGGUAGUCCCAGCUGUAAACGAUGCAGACUCGGUGAUGGGCUAGCCUCGUGUCAGCCCAGUGCCGCAGGGAAGCCGUUAAGUCUGCCGCCUGGGGAGUACGGUCGCAAGACUGAAACUUAAAGGAAUUGGCGGGGGAGCACCACAAGGGGUGAAGCCUGCGGUUCAAUUGGAUUCAACGCCGGAAAUCACUAGUGAAUUC